AGGGUUUAUCAAGAAUUAAUGAUGGAAUUCUGAUAACUGAAUUCGACCUGAAUUUUUGCAGACAAGCUAGAGACGUAUGGGGUUUUCAGAUGACCCGACGUAUGGAUCUUUAUGCUGAAUCAUUU